UUUAGAGAAGACAGUUAAACAGAGACAGGGAUGGCUAGAAGAUGGCAGCUCUUCACAGAUCCGGGGAGGAAUGUUCCUGUCAGAAAAGAUUGCUGAAACAAAAGAUUGCUGAGGUUGGAAAGCACUUGGUGAGUUGAUGAAUUGGGCACAGAGCCAGAUGGCUGUCUGCAAGCGAGGUUUGUCCAGAGUGGGAAGAGGAUGCUACAGUUUUAGCUGUACACACUAUCUCUGGCAGAAUGGGCUUUAUUUUGAAGUUCAAGCUGACAGAAUAAAGAACACCACAUCUCCUCCGUUGUUCUCAUGUCUCACUUUCUUUUCUUUUCUCUCCAUUCUUCCCACCCUCCUCUCCUCCCUCCCUUCUCUUUUUUUUCUUCCUCAUUUCUUUUGACUUUUGUUUGUUUGUUUGUUUGUUUGUAAGUUUUUCAAGCAGGGUUUUUCUGUGUAGCCCUGGCUAUCCUAGAACUAUGGUCACCAGGCUGGCCUUGAAUUCAGAGAUCUGCCUGCCUCUGCCUCUAAGUGCUGGGAUCAAAUGUGGGCACUACCACUGCCCUAAGGGAUUGUAUCCUUUUCACACCCUGUCUGACUUGAGCAUAACUCAUCAGCAAACUCAGAAACUAUUUUCUUUUUCCUCGGAUCCAGCGGAAGUUAGGGACUGCCUAAGCUUAGAACUUUCUUUAGAUUUGUGUUAGAACAAGUUUUCUUGCUGUCAUCUAGAGACCAGCUCAGUACACAUUCUCUGUCCCUUUCCACAUAGACUCUAGCCUGCCUGCCAUCUUAACAUCCUUCUCAGUCUCUUCCCUCCACAGUCUGCCUUAAAGAAUUCCCAUCAUUGCAGAGUCUUUCUUCUCCUAUAGCUAAAGCCAAAGCUGAUAUUUUUGUUUCUGUUUUCCUCCUUUAAAUCUCAUUUUAUCCACUUGGAAAACAUAACAGUUACUAUUUUGGGAGGACUAGAAUUGCUUUCAGUUUGGAGUUUUUUAAUUCAUUCUAAAAUGCAUAUGCACAGAUAGACAGGCAGAUAGUUUGAGAGAGAGAGAGAGAGGGAGAGAGAGAGGGGUAUUAUGGAUCAGACCAAGAACUUUAUAAGAAAAUCAUUUCCUGGCAUCAUCUUGGUUCACAAUAUGAUUUACUUUGGACUGGACAGUAAAUUGGAACAUAAUAACCAUAUCUGACAUCUCCCCAGAGAGACUCAAGUGCCCUAAAAUAAUACUAUAUUAUUUUUCUGUUAUUGUGAAAAAGCACCUUGACCUAAGUUGACCUGCAUAAGCAUCUAUUUUGCUUAUGUUUCCAGAGGGAGAGUCCAUAAUGCAGAGGAAGCAUGGCAAUGGACAGCUACGGCAGCAAGAUCAUAAUUUCAACCACAGGCAGAAAGCAGAGAGUACCAACUAGAACUGGGGCAAAGCUAUAAACUCUCAAAGCCUUCUUUGAGUGAUGUGCAUCCCGUAACACCUGGGAGGUGUGUCAGCUCCCUAAACAGUGCCAUCCACUAGGUAACAAUUACUCAAAUACACAGGCUUAUUGGGGAUGUUCCUCACUCAAAUCACCACAAAUGCAUCCCCCUUUUCUACUUCUUUGAUGAUUAGCCAAAGAGUUCUCACAGAGAACACCGGCAAGCAGAUCUACUUUGUAUCUCUUGUUCUCAUGUGUGGUUAACCAUGAGUAUGGAUUCUCAAGUGUCUCUCCUGGAUUAAUUUACAAGCUUUCUUACUGAGCCUAUAUUGCUGUACAAUGAGAACUGCUUUCUACAUUAGGCUGGGUCAGGUUCAACUUUUGAAAAUAGCUAGAUAAUAAAAAUUCGGAGUUUUCGAUUAUGAUACUUACAAGUAACUCUCUCUUUCCCCCCUCUCCUUCCUUUGUACACUCCAAUUUGUAGUAUAGAAAAAUGUGCCUUGUAGGUAUGGGGAAUGUGGUGAUGGAAGACUGUGAGGAGCAGGCUUACAGGAAAUGUGACUGCUACCCCCUGCCACUCAUUCCUCACAUUCAAACCAAAGUCACCACUUUCCACUGCCAGCUUGUGUUCACCUCCCCAUCCUCCAUGUGAAGUCGCCAUCUGACCUGGCUAUGGAGGAGAUGCCACUUCUCUGCAGGAGAUCUACCACAGGAGCUAAAAAUAAGGGCUGCUAUAUUUCUGUAGACACUGCUAACCCAAUUAG
rnacentral:lncRNA from 1 species